rnacentral:rRNA from 1 species
UGAGGAAUAUUGGUCAAUGGGCGAGAGCCUGAACCAGCCAAGUAGCGUGCAGGAUGACGGCCCUAUGGGUUGUAAACUGCUUUUAUGCGGGGAUAAAGUGCGUGACGUGUCAUGCAUUGCAGGUACCGCAUGAAUAAGGACCGGCUAAUUCCGUGCCAGCAGCCGCGGUAAUACGGAAGGUCCGGGCGUUAUCCGGAUUUAUUGGGUUUAAAGGGAGCGUAGGCCGCCAGAUAAGCGUGUUGUGAAAUGUACCGGCUCAACCGGUGAAUUGCAGCGCGAACUGUUUGGCUUGAGUGCACGGUAAGCAGGCGGAAUUCAUGGUGUAGCGGUGAAAUGCUUAGAUAUCAUGAAGAACUCCGAUUGCGAAGGCAGCUUGCUGCAGUGCGACUGACGCUGAUGCUCGAAGGUGCGGGUAUCAAACAGG